GUUAAUUUUAUUCUUGUUAACCUGUAAACUUGCUAUUGUAGAACUUUUUUGAAACAAAACUAAAAUUGAGGAAUUUUAUUUUAUCAAAUUGAAUUUGAGUGACUAAAUGACCAUUUAAUUUCUAUCACUAACCUAUGGACUCAUAAAUGCAAAGCCUCAAUUUAAUCCCCAUAACCAUCACAGACCAUUUAUGCUCUAUUUGGC
rnacentral:misc_RNA from 1 species